GGAUGACCUGCUUGCUGGGCUUCCCAUUACUAAUUCUUGAGACAUGAGGACCACUGACUGGUGAGGGAAUUGCCCUAUGAUGGAUGAGCCUGCCUCGAGCUGCCAUAAGCUGGGAGGACCGACGGUUGACCGACUCUGCCUGCUUGGUUGGCCAUUACCGAUUCUUAAGAAGAUGAGGACCGCCAAGCUUGGAUGAGACUGGACAAUUACGAAGCUGCUCUAUCUGGACAAGGAUGCCCUCAUCAGACACUUUCCAAAUUGCGGAAUAUUGGAUCAAAAAUCAGACUGCAUAUUAUUUUGCAUUAUUAUAAAACAUAAAAACGACGAAAAUACGAAUUCUUACGCCAAAGUUACCGCUAUAAUUGGUAGAAAUAA